rnacentral:lncRNA from 1 species
GAAAAACCAAAAACAGCUCUCACCCAUUUUUUAGCCCUUAAGUUUGGCCUAUGGCACCGGCGAGCUUGCGCGGUGGCUCCGCCACGCUCCGCCGUAGCGCCGCCGUGCCGGAGGGCUAAAACCUAAAUCUUUUCUUUUUUUUUUAAAUAAAACACAAAAGAAAUGGCCUUUCGGCCUCUGUAGUUGCAACCCGAGUGAAACCCUAAGGGUUUCCGUAUCCUUGACGAGCGGAGGGGAUUUCCGAAGGCGGCGUAUGACCCGUACUCAGGUAUUUUCACCCCCUUUUCGUUUGAUUAUUAUUUUUAUAUAUUUGUAAUAGAAUGCGAAAAAGAAAAAUAAAUCUAAAAAGAAAUAGCAGUUCAAAAAAAAAGUUUCAACCUUUGGGUUUUUCUUGAUUGAUCUUUGCUCUCUUGGUGUUCUGUUGUUUUCUUGUAUUGUGAAAACACUCGCUCUUUUUGUAUUGAUUUUUCAAUCCCCUUUACAAUAUUUUAAUGGCUUUUUAUAGCGGUAAUAAAACAAUAACAUAGAAAGCAAAUCUAUUUACAUCGAUUUGAUUCGCAAUCUUUUGAUUUUUCUUUCCAUAUACUAUUUCCUUUCUUGCUGUGCAGGUGAAGGCGUGCGACUCAUGCGGGGCUUGGAUGUGGCGUAAAAGUUUACCCCAGAAACCCUAGGGGUUUCUGACAUUGUUUUAGGCCACUGGGGUUGGUAUUUUG